GUAAUUGCAUAUAUCUAGCAUGUUGAUGUACAAUACUAGUAAAUGAAGAUGUUGAAACAAGAAAAUUGUUCCCCUAUAAAAGGGUGAAGCAGAGUUUGCAACAUGCAUCUCUAAUCACUCCAUUCUCUCUUUACAAUGGUCACUAUGACUUCAUUACUACAAAUUGUUUUCUGAUGGCUUUCACAAUCACCGACACCUUUUUACAUAGACCAUAUUCUCCACCACCACCACCACCACCAUCACCACCACCACCACCACCACCUUCCUUUGAUCACUUUAAACUGGCUCUCACAUGGCCACAAACAUUUUGUAAGAUAGAAACCUGUUUCUAUCUUUUUUUCCACAAAAAAUUGUCAUUCAUGAUCUGUGGCCCAGUAAAAAAGACACUGAGAUAUAUGAUUGCAAAGUUGGGACAGAAGGUUCGGUGAACAAGUAGAAUUCUCACGGAACUUGUUUAAUCCAGAUGUUCGAGAUUCUUCCUUAUUUUAAAGAGUCAUUAAAAUUUACCAAAGAAAUAAUAUAAAGGAUAUUCUUGAAAAAAGUAAUAUUAUACUGGGCAGAAAGUUUAAACAAGACCAAUUUGUUAAUCCAAUAAAUAUUCACAUUACCUUAUGCCACAAGUUCGAUGAUAAAUUCUACGCUCUCCUUUCACUAUUAUAAGUAAAUUUGACAUUUUUUAUGCAUUUAACUAUCAAUGUAUCUAGUGGUUGUCGAAAGGAAGUUCAAUGGAGGCUGACAGGUUCAUGAAAGUUUGGAGUUUAUUUUAUUUUCUUACUACGCAACUUUUGUUUUCUUUUUGGUUUGCUGGAUGUUGUUAUGGUUCUAAAUAAAGACCUUGUUAGCUCUCCAUACUUCAGUCUGUAGUCUUUCCCACUUUGUGUGUUAAGAUGGAAUUUAUAUGAAUACAAUAUGAUGGUUGCUUUUUA